AGGAUUAAAGGAGGGACGGGGCGUUGUGGCUGCAGGUAUGGAUGAAACAAGAUUGCUAUCAGUGAAUAAUUUCUGAAGCUGAGUGAGAGUACACGAGACUUCUUUAUGCCAUCUGCUCUACUUUUGUAUAUGCUUGUAAUUUUCCACAAUAAAACAUGAAAGAAAAGAAGGAGACAUUCCAGAAGAUUCUGCUCACCUCUGUCCACCCUUACAAGGCUGAUGAGCCCACAGCGGCACGCUGUGUCACCAGUGCGCAGGCGCAGCGCAGGAAGCGGGAGCCAAAGAGGAAACUUCGGAGUCCCAGCCGCGGGCUCAGGACUCGGAUCUGUUGCUUACCAGCUGGGGCACCUUGGCAAGCUACCUAACCUGCAUCUCACAGCGGGGGUGUGAACAUUAAAUAAGGAUAAAGACUCUG